rnacentral:rRNA from 1 species
UACAGAGGAGCCAAGCGUUGUCCGGAUUGACUGGGCGUAAAGCGCACGCAGGCGGUUGCGCGCGUGGGGUGUGAAAUCUGGCCGCUUAACGGCCAGGCGCCAUCCCAUACGGCGCGACUGGAGUGAUGCAGAGGUCGAUGGAAUUGCCGGUGUAGUGGUGAAAUGCGUAGAGAUCGGCAGGAACACCCCAGGGGGGAAACCAGUCGACUGGGCAUCUACUGACGCUGAGGUGCGAGAGCGUGGGGAGCGAACCGG